GCAGGACCAAUUGCAGAACCAAUUUCACAGACUCGAGAACAAGAAGAGAAUGCAGAAGCAACAGAUCAGCAGGUGCAAUUAGUAAAGAGGCCUAAGAGGGUAGUAACAAAACCAUCUUACCUUAAAGACUAUGUCUGAGGGUGAGAUGGGUAUUUUAGUUAAGUAAUAUUCCCUUGCUUGGUGCUUGUUUGAUAGUUGGGAACAAGCAUAACGAACUUGCGUAAUUGGGCUCCAAAAUAUCCAAUUCUGUUAGGAAGAACUAGUAUUAAUAGCUAUGUAAUAAUUCAAGCAAGGCAUGAAUGAGAAUUACCUUCUUUGAUUUUUCUUCUUGUGUGGAGGUGCUGGUUCCUCGAAAACCAGUUUUGCGUUUUCCCCUUUUAAUUAGGUGUAUCAAGUGGUGCUUUCAUUGCCUCCCAUGUCCGAUCAACCACCCCUUUCUUCGACUAAGCUCGAGGAGAUCCUCGUUGCUCUUACCACACAGCAAUUGACCCUCUCCCAUAAAAUUGAUGACCUUAUCCAGCAUAUAUCCCCUGUUCUUCACCCCCAACCAUCUAUCACCUCCUCCAUUCCUCGCCUAUACCCCAUACCUGCACAACAACACAGAAUGAAAUUAGAGAUCCCCCGUUUUGACGGCGUUGAUCCAAUUGGUUGGAUCUUCAAGGUGAAUCAAUUCUUUGAUUACUAUGGCACCCCUGAGCAUGAGCGAUUACAGAUCGCUGCGUUUUACAUGGAGGGCCGCGCCCUCUCUUGGUUUCAAUUGAUGUCCGCCAACGCACAGUUCACGUCGUGGCCGGCGUUCAUCCAGGCGCUGCAAACGCGAUUCGCGCCCUCUCAGUAUGAGGACCCAAUUGGAACCCUGUGUAAAUUAAUGCAGAAAGGCACAGUGGCUGCGUACCUGUCGGAAUUCGAGGACAUUGCGAACCGUAUUGUCGGUAUUCCUCCUGCGUUUCUCCUUGGCUGUUUCAUCUCCGGCCUCACACCGGAGAUUUGUCGCGACGUCCAGCCCACCAGCCCCUCACCCUCACCCAAGCCGCUGGCCUCGCCAAACUCCAAGAGGAAAAACUCCUCGACUCCCGCCCCUCUCCACCUCCUCCCCGACCAUGCCCACCAUCCACAUCCUUCUUUCCCACCAUACCUCUCCGUAACACCAACUCUCUAUCCCUACCCUCUUCCCUGCCUUCCUCCUCCCCGCAUCAACCAAACCCAGCACCCUCCCCGCUUCCUUCGCCUAUCCUUCGUCCCCAACCACCUCCUCCAUUUAAACGGCUCACUUCCGAGGAAAUUGCAUCCCGCCGUGAAAGGGGGCUUUGCUUCAGUUGCGAUGAGAAAUACCAUCGAGGACACCGGUGUGCCUCUAGGGUAUUCCUCUUGCUCGCUGAAGACGGCGACACCUUCCCUUCCCCUGAAUCCCCUCUUAUAAGCCAUCCGGACCCUGACCCUGACCCGACACUUGACCCGGCCCAUCAUCCGGACCCAUACCCGACCCAUGACCCUGACCCAUACCCGGCCCAGUUAAGUUUGAACUCAAUGGCAGGACAUCUCGCGCUAGAGACGCUCCGUUUCAUUGCCACCAUCUCCGGCAAUGAAGUCGUGCUUCUCGUGGAUGGCGGGAGCACGCAUAAUUUUAUCCAAAGGCAGCUCGUGGAUCAUUUGGGCCUUCCUUCUCGGCCGACAACCCCCCUGCAUGUCAUGGUUGGCAAUGGCCAACAACUGGACUGUGACACCAUCUGCGAGGCCAUUCCAAUCAUCAUCCAGACCCAUGAAUUUCACGUGGACCUUUAUGUUCUUCCUAUUUCCGGUGCUAAUGUGGUAUUGGGGGUUCAAUGGUUGAAAUCAUUGGGACCCGUCUUGACUGAUUAUAAUACCCUGCUUAUGAAGUUCUUUCAUUCCGGUGGCCUGAUAACAUUGCAGGGAGACAUGGAUGCUUCCCUUACAUCCCUUUCGUCCUUUCGUCCUUUCGUCCUUUCGUCGUCUCACCCGUAAACUCGCUACUCCCAUGUACUAUCAUAUUACCUUAUUAGCAGACCACAAUUCGACCACUCAAAUGAUUCCUCCUGCCAUACAGACUCUUCUUGAUAAAUUCGCAACCCUAUUUCAGCCACCUCAAUCCCUUCCGCCACCGCGAAACACUGAUCAUCAUAUCCAUUUAUUACCCCAGGCAGCUCCCGUUAAUGUCAGGCCCUACCGUUACCCCCAUUACCAGAAGAAGGAAAUCGAAGAGCAAGUUGAUUCGAUGCUACAAAAGGGGCUCAUCCAACCAAGCACCAGCCCCUUUUCUUCUCCAGUGCUUCUAGUUAAGAAACAAGACGGAUCAUGGCGUUUCUGUGUGGACUACCGCGCAUUGAAUGCCUUGACGGUGCGUGACAGGUUCCCCAUUCCCACCAUUGAUGAACUCUUGGACGAAUUGGGUGGAGCGUGCUAUUUCUCGAAGCUUGAUCUUCUGCAGGGGUACCACCAAAUCCGAAUGCACUCCGAUGACAUACCAAAGACGGCAUUCAGAACUCAUCACGGGCAUUACGAGUUCAAGGUGAUGUCGUUUGGACUCUGUAAUGCCCCUUCAUCGUUUCAAGCUACGAUGAACCAGAUAUUCCAACCAUAUCUUCGCCGUUUCAUCAUCGUCUUCUUCGACGAUAUUCUAAUCUACAGUCGCUCUAUGGAUGAUCACCUCCGGCACUUGGACAUUACCUUUCAGGUAUUGUUUGUGAAUCAAUUUGUUCUCAAACUUUCUAAAUGUUAUUUUGCUCAGCCUCAGGUGGAAUACCUUGGCCAUUUAGUCUCGCAUAAGGGUGUUGAACCUCUGCCUUCCAAGAUCUCUGCUAUUCAGCAAUGGCCUACUCCUCACACAACUAAGGCAGUUCGAAGUUUUCUGGGUUUGGCUGGGUUCUACAGGAGAUUUAUACAAGGGUAUGCUACCCUUGCAGCACCCCUGGUCAAAGCAACGACCCUCGACCCUUUUCAAUGGACACCUGAAGCACAACUUGCUUUUGAGAAGUUAAAGCUUGCACUAUCGUCGGCACCGGUGUUGGCAUUACCAGAUUUCAGUAUUCCGUUCACAGUUAAGACAGAUGCCUCAGGGGUAGGCAUGGGUGCCAUCCUUUCGCAAAAGGGACAUCCAAUUGCGUUUUUCAGUAAGCCAUUUAGUGCCAAGUUGCUUCGUUCCUCCACUUAUGUAAGGGAACUAUUCGCUAUUACUGCUGCCAUUAAGAAAUGGCGCCAGUACUUGCUGGGGCAUCGUUUCAUUAUUCUAACAGAUCAUAGAAGUCUUAAAGAGCUUCUCACUCAAGCUGUGCAAACCCCAGAACAACACAUGUAUCUGGCCAAGCUUAUGGGAUAUGAUUACCAGAUUUUGUAUCGUUCCGGCGCCCAUAAUCAAGCUGCAGACGUGCUAUCUCAAGUUCCUGAAUCUCAGUCCCACCUCUCUAUGAUUCUUUCUGUUCCAUGCUUCACAUUUUUAGAGGAACUUGCACAGCAAUUGGCCCACCAUGAUGAUUAUCUUCAGUUAUGCCGGAACAUUAGUGAAGCACCUGCGGUGUUUGAGGGAUUCUCUCUUACUGAUACCUUCAUUCUCUUUCGAAAUCGUAUUUGGCUUCCUCGUACUCUUCCUAUCAUACCCACUGGGGGUCACGCCGGAAUCACAAAGACACUGACCCGCUUGUCCGAAAACUUCUUUUGGUCAGGAAUGCGAGCUGAUGUCUCGACAUUUGUGGCAAAUUGUUUCAAAUGCCAAUGUACCAAGUAUGAAACAAAGAAGAUGUCUGGUCUCUUAUGCCCUUUACCGGUGCCGCGGCAACCAUGGGAGGAUCUCUCCCUUGAUUUCAUUACAGGUUUGCCACCCUCCAAUGGUCACACAGUCAUCCUGGUUGUAGUGGAUAGAUUCUCAAAAGGGGUUCACUUAGGUACAUUACCUACGGCCCACACCGCGCAUACUGUUGCUUCCUUAUUCUUGAACAUCGUAGCAAAGAUUCAUGGCCCACCCCAUAGUCUGGUCUCUGACAGAGACCCUUUAUUCAUAAGCAAAUUUUGGCAGGAACUUUUUUGAUUAAGUGGUACUCAAUUAAGGAUGAGUUCAACAUAUCAUCCUCAAAGCGAUGGCCAAACUGAGGUCCUCAACAGGGUCAUCGAACAAUACCUGAGGGCUUUCGUUCACCGGAGACCCACCACGUGGGGCAAGUUCCUUCCCUGGGCAGAGUAUUCACACAAUACUUCUUAGAGCUCUUCGACGGGUUCAACUCCCUACGAAGUUACAUUUGGAAAGAAGCCUUUCAAUUUUCUGGCGUACGUCACUGGCCAAUCCUCCAUUGACGCCGUGGACACUAUGCUCACUGACAGAAAUGAAGUCUUCCAAAUGAUUCGCAAGAAACUGUUGAAAGCACAAGAGCUCAUGAAGACCAAAGCUGAUACCAAAUGACGUGAGGUGAAUUAUCAAAUUGGGGACUGGGUGCUCCUUCGGCUCAGACCCUAUCGUCAGUCAUCAGCUAAGGGAUUGGAACCGACCACAGGCAAGCUAUCAAAGCGGUUUUUUGGUCCCUUUCAAGUUGUUGAGCACGUAGGCAAGGUCGCUUAUCGGCUCCAACUUCCGGCAAAGGCCAAAGUACACCCUGUUUUUCAUUACUCCUUGCUGAAACGUUUCCAUGGUGAUCCCGCAGCAGUUCCGGCAGCUUUCCCUGCUGCAAUUCUCACAUCUCAGCCCUCCAUUGCUCCUUUAGCUAUCUUAGCAGCGCGCAAGGCCUCCAAUGCAACUACUGAAGUUUUGGUCCAAUGGCAGGGCCUUUCCCCCGAUGAUGCCACUUGGGAAGACUGGAUCGAACUCCGCAAUGAAUUUCACCUUGAGGACAAGGUGCUUUCCCAUGGGCCGUGGAAUGAUACAGAGGAACAGACCAUUGCAGUUCAAGCUCAAGAUGCAGGACCAAUUGCAGAACCAAUUUCACAGACUCGAGAACAAGAAGAGAAUGCAGAAGCAACAGAUCAGCAGGUGCAAUUAGUAAAGAGGCCUAAGAGGGUAGUAACAAAACCAUCUUACCUUAAAGACUAUGUCUGAGGGUGAGAUGGGUAUUUUAGCUAAGUAAUAUUCCCUUGCUUGGUGCUUGUUUGAUAGUGGGGAACAAGCAUAACGAACUUGCGUAAUUGGGCUCCAAAAUAUUCAAUUCUGUUAGGAAGAACUAGUAUUAAUAGCUAUGUAAUAAUUCAAGCAAGG
rnacentral:lncRNA from 1 species